GAAGGAGGCAACUGUAAACCACUUCCAUAUUUUUACUAAGAAAACUCUAUGGAUACACUACCAGAACAAUUGCAAAUGCAGGUGGGAAGUUCCAGAAGAAAUAUGUCCAUGGCGUUACUAUGGGUCGGAGAUGACUCGACGGCAUAAGACAAGACAAUAUUCCUCAGAGAAACUGAACAUCAUCAGGAAUUUUUUUGGAGCCCAUGGAUUGCCCAGAACCUUGCUAGCAAUUAUCCAGUUAUCGCAGACAUUGCUGUCAUCAUCUUCAUCACCAUCUUCAGCAGCCACAGCAGCAACAGCAAGAGUUUCUUUGUAAACGUUUUACUUUAUCCAGGUACAUAUAAUUAUGACUGAUUCAAGACAGGUGUCUCUAUUGGCCUUGGAUUCCUGGUCUUCCCAAACCAGAAACCUCUGCAGAUAUAAGAAGAGGAAGGAAAAGUGUGAAUCAGUAUAUUUAGGCAAAAACUUCCAAACUUUGCCAUUCAUGCUAAUUUGGUAAAUUUUCCAGAAGAAAUUCAGAGAUUCCUGAUAUAGGUACCUCCACCCUCAGCCUUGUUCAUGUUGGAGGUUCCAGAGUAUGACUGUAGAUGCACUCAAAGAAGUUCGAAGGAGCUAAGCUUUUCUUCGGGUGGGAGGACUCUGAACCCACUGAGAAUUUGUGGAUUUCUCUGGGAAGUGUAACAGUGACUUGAAUAUAAGAAGUCAAAAGACGAUGCAGCUCACUUCGUGUCCAAGGUGGAUCUGACUCCGGAUGCACAUUUGGGUUUAGUCCUGGAUCAGUCCAGUGUGGUUUGAAGUAGGUUGAUGAGUUCCUAUCAUCAAAUCUAUGUGGAGUUCACAAUGGCACCAGCAUAUUUAGAACUCAAGAACUCUGGGGAGAGAAGAUUGGUCCUGCACUCCUCUAUAAUAUUUGGGUCUGUCCUGGACAAGGAGCCUGGAGUGAACACUGAAGGUUCCAGGCUAAUGGGUUUUCUCUAAAGGGCAUAAAGCAAGGAGCAUUACGAAUAGACCCUGGAAUCUAUUGGAAUUUCUGCUGUGAUAGAAGUUGGUCCUCCAGCCAGUGAUGAGCUGAACCCAUGAAUCUCAGCCUUCCUUGCCUGUAGAGUGCAUCAGAUUAUCUUUGAAUCUGUAAACUAUUCAUCUUCUCAACCAUCCUUUGCCACUGAAAAAAGAAAAACAGAAACCGCAUGAUAGUUGUAUUCCCCCACCUAAUAAAAGGGUCAUUGGCUCUUAAAAUUACAAGGUUUCACCUUAUCUCUUAAUGACAAUGUGGUAUAUCAGUCAAUCAAUUAAUCAAUGGUAUUGUUGAGCAUUUACUGUGUGCAGAGCACUGGACUAAGCACUUUGGAGAGUAGAAGACAAAAGAGUAAGUAUAGAUAAUUCUUGCCCACAGGAAGUAUUUCAUGUGUAUUUAUAGGCAUCACCGUAGAGAACUGCUUAUUUCCUGGGAAAGGUCCAGUGGAAAAGCCUUGGAAUUCUGAAUUCAGUGCACACAUCUCCCUCUCAAUUGCCCCAACUCAUGCCUAUCUGGCUAUUUAUUUCUUUCAGGAUAAAGAAGGAAAUCAGCUGAAUAAUGUAGCAGGUAAACUUCAUUUAUGGCUAUCUAAAUCAGAAAGAGCAUCCAAGGCUACAAAGGUGAUAAAUCCCAGUGCCCAAGAUUGUUAUCUACAGCCCUAAAACUGUCACAAAGUUUCUGGAGAAACAUAAGAUCUUGUAUUUACAAGGUAGACCUUAAUCUCCUUGCCUUUUUUAUUUUUGCCUUUGGUUAUUGUGAUUUUGGUCACAUAAGUAGAGAGAAAUCUCUAGUAUGGUGCACAUAGUCACAUCAAAAGAAGCACUUUUUUGUACAGUGAUUUCAGGUAUUUAAACCAACAAACAAAAAGUAUAGUGAAAACUUUUUCCCAAAAAGGAUUUGCUAAGUUCAUUGGGAGGUAAGAGAUGUCAUCAAUUAUUGGUGAACCCUUAUUCUCUUUCCCAAAAACAUAUAAAUCUUUUAAGCAAGAAAAAUAUUGAGUCCCCACUGAGGAUUUUGCUUUGUUUGUUUCCUAUCCAGAAUAGAGACUACAGGCCCAACUCAUGAAUCUUUAACUCAAGAGAAUGAAAUAUUAUCAAUGCUUUCUUUUUAUUGUAUUUCAAGUUUUGUGUUGGUUAAUGACUGCUCUAGUUUAGCUGUCCAGGUGUGGAAUGUAACUCCACUGAGAAGCCACCACUUUAAAUUUGUCAAGAGCCACUGGUACCAAAGGAAACCUGAGAGCAAUUCAGAUGGAUCUCUGUAGGUUGACACUUGCAGCUCUUGCCCUGGAGAAUGUUUGGCUUCUCAUUCUUUUGAGCCUUUUUGUGCUGUAGGUUUCCAGGCUAAGAUCAGUGCUCUGUCAAAGAUGUGGAUUUUUUGUCUUUCAUGACUUUUAUUUAACCUGCUAUUAGAUUUCAGUAAAAAAUGUUGAGUUUGGGUUAA